UUAUGACCUUGGGUUCACAUUUGCUACAAUGGACAGAACAAAGGGCAGUGAAACCGCGAGGUUAAGCCAAUCCCACAAAUCUGUUCUCAGUUCGGAUCGCAGUCUGCAACUCGACUGCGUGAAGCUGGAAUCGCUAGUAAUCGCGGAUCAGCAUGCCGCGGUGAAUACGUUCCCGGGCCUUGUACACACCGCCCGUCACACCACGAGAGUUUGUAACACCCGAAGUCGGUGAGGUAACCUUUUAGGAGCCAGCCGCCGAAGGUGGGACAGAUG
rnacentral:rRNA from 1 species